CAAAUUCGACCAAAUAUGGAGCUACCAAUAAAUUGGUUGGCAGUCUAGAUUUCAGAUCAAUGUGAUAGAAUUUGGAGGGUGUGCAAUUUUUGCAUGAUCCAUUUUGCUGUAUGAUAUGUACAGGUAUGCAAUUUGUGGUGAUUGUAAAUAUUGCAACAUGUAUUUCCUAUAUUAGAUAGAUAUUUUCUUUUGAUGUGAUUUUCUGACUCCUUUUCUUGGCCAAAAUCCUCAAGCUGUAUUUGAAUAGUAACUUCCUCUCGUUGAUACCUUGACUUGCUCAUUUGAUGGUGAGAUAAAUUUUUUACACCGAAAUUAGUACAUGAUUAAUAAAAUUCAUGAAAUUGACAACCAAAGCAACAUAAAUAGAUAGCUGAAUAUGUAUAAAAUUUUCAUAGAAUUAGGAAGAACAUAAUUAGACUUCACUACGCUUGUGAGUUCAUACUUUUGACAAUGUCCUUAAUGAAGCCUAGAUAUUGGCCUCAUGACCUCUUGUUUUUUUUGAGAGUGUUAGGUGGUUUCUCACCAUCUGUUUUAGGCUUUUAGCUGGUGAGACCUGCAAAUAGGGAUGUAAACGGGUAGGGUACCCGCGAAAAUUAAACUAUCCGAACCCGAACCCGAUUUAUAUUAGUAAUAUUCGAACCCGUUCUGAAUCCGAUUAAAAAUUAAUUUAAAUUAUCCAAAUCCGUCUCAAACCCGAUUAUUAUUAUCCGAAUAAAACCCGAACCCGUUUAAUCUUAUAUAUUUUAAUUAAUAAUUUAUAUAAAAAAUAUUUUUCAUUAAUAAUUUUUAUUUAAAAAAUUUAAUAUUUCUAAAGAAUAUUUAAAUUUAAAUUUUUAAAUAAAAAUAUAAAAAAAAAAUUUAUAAAUAUUAUUGUAAAAUAUAUUUUUUAUAUUAAAUUAAUUAUUUAUAUAAACGGGUUCGGGUAGUGGAUACCCUGUGCAUAAAACCCGAAUCCGAUCCGAACCCACAACGGGUAUUAUUUUUAAAAUCCGAACCCGUCCCAAAUCCGAUUAUAACUACCCAAAUCCGUUUUAUUAGGGUUCGGUCGGAUCGGAUACCCGAAAAUACCCGAUUCGUUGCCAUCCCUACCUGCAAAACAUAGGACAAAUGGGAUAAGGAGCCCACUGAAUGUUUUCUUCUACACCUAAGCUAGAGAUCUCCAUUUGUCUAGAAAAGAUUGGGAGUUUUAUAGUAGAAAGAUGGAGAAAAUGAGAGCCAGAAUUCUCUUUAUUAAAAUAUUUAUAAUUAAAAUAUUUUAAAUAUUAGAAUACGAUGAGAGGCAAUUGAUCACUAAAGAGUUAAGCAAAUUGAGACUACAUAUUUCAUCAACUGUGAAUUAAAUGGCAUUGUGAUUGGACCUUCACUUGGUAAUCCAAACUCUUCUUCUGACAUCUUCAAGAUCUCUUGGAAAAUAUCUAUGUUAAGGGUAUUGCAAAAUGCUUAUGUUCUUUCACCAUUACCUGCUAUGUUAGUUUCAGAGUAUCAAGGAAUUACUUUCAGAAAUACUUUAUCAACUUCACUUCCACACUAUAUGAAUUGAAAUCACAAGCAAAUGUCUUGUAGUCAUUUCUAGUUUGGAACAUGGUUGGGUUAACAACACUUGUUGUUUGUUUAGUUAUGUUCUUACUGUACUUCAACUUAAGCUAACUAACCGUUUUGUCUUCUUAAUCCUCAUCUAUCUCAUACCACUUUUGGCCUUUUCUCACCGGGAAUCUUGAACCCAAUAACUCAUUCUAAAUGAAGGCUAAGGGAUAAGCUUGGUUUCCAUGAUUGAAGCGUAAUAACAGUCUAAUGCUCUGAUCUUGGUGGCAGUAGAAGUAGCAUUACGUCCUGAAGGUUUAU
rnacentral:lncRNA from 1 species